GACGAACGCUGGCGGCGUGCUUAACACAUGCAAGUCGAACGGAAAGGCCCUGCUUUUGUGGGGUGCUCGAGUGGCGAACGGGUGAGUAACACGUGAGUAACCUGCCCUUGACUUUGGGAUAACUUCAGGAAACUGGGGCUAAUACCGGAUAGGAGCUCCUGCUGCAUGGUGGGGGUUGGAAAGGUUCGGCGGUUGGGGAUGGACUCGCGGCUUAUCAGCUUGUUGGUGGGGUAGUGGCUUACCAAGGCUUUGACGGGUAGCCGGCCUGAGAGGGUGACCGGCAACAUUGGGACUGAGAUACGGCCCAGACUCCUACGGGAGGCAGCAGUGGGGAAUAUUGCACAAUGGGCGGAAGCCUGAUGCAGCAACGCCGCGUGCGGGAUGACGGCCUUCGGGUUGUAAACCGCUUUCGCCUGUGACGAAGCGUGAGUGACGGUAAUGGGUAAAGAAGCACCGGCUAACUACGUG
rnacentral:rRNA from 1 species